rnacentral:lncRNA from 1 species
CGCAUGAAGAUAAUUGUUUUUUUUGUCGAUGAUUAUUAUAUUAUUUGUCUUUGUGAUAACAAUAUCCAUUGGAUUUAAUGGUGUUUCUGAUGUACUGACAAUACUAUGACCUUUGUAUAUGAAUUUAACAACUCCAGAUCUUUCUAACGCGACAAUUUGUCCAUCUAAAUUUUCAAAGUGGUCAAUUGCAUAGAUGUGAUUAUGUAAAUCAGUGGAUAUUCUCCAGAUAUAACUAAACAAUUUUUUACCCUUUUGAUCGAAUUCGAUAUUAAGUUUUCGUUUGUUGUUUUCACCAAAUACGGCAAUUUGUCUGUUGCAGAAUUCUGUGACUGGAAAUGUGGACCCUUAUUCUCGUAGACCUAGGAUU